rnacentral:rRNA from 1 species
AUGGCUCAGGAUGAACGCUAGCGAUAGGCCUAACACAUGCAAGUCGAGGGGCAGCACAUGAAGUAGCAAUACGGAUGGUGGCGACCGGCGCACGGGUGAGUAACGCGUAUGCAACCUGCCUACAACAGGGAAUAACCCGUUGAAAGACGGACUAAUACCCCAUAACACAGGGAUCCCGCAUGGGAAUAUUUGUAAAGAUUUAUCGGUUGUAGAUGGGCAUGCGUUCCAUUAGCUUGUUGGUGAGGUAACGGCUCACCAAGGCAACGAUGGAUAGGGGAACUGAGAGGUUUAUCCCCCACACUGGUACUGAGACACGGACCAGACUCCUACGGGAGGCAGCAGUGAGGAAUAUUGGUCAAUGGACGCAAGUCUGAACCAGCCACGUCGCGUGAAGGAAGACGGCCCUACGGGUUGUAAACUUCUUUUCCCCGGGAAGAAUAAGCCCCUCGUGAGGGGUGAUGCCGGUACCGGGGGAAUAAGGAUCGGCUAACUCCGUGCCAGCAGCAGC